AAAGGGUGCGUAGGCGGUUUGGUAAGUCAGUGGUGAAAGCCCAUCGCUUAACGAUGGAACGGCCAUUGAUACUGCCAGACUUGAAUUACUAGGAAGUAACUAGAAUAUGUAGUGUAGCGGUGAAAUGCUUAGAUAUUACAUGGAAUACCAAUUGCGAAGGCAGGUUACUACUAGUGGAUUGACGCUGAUGGACGAAAGCGUGGGGAGCGAACAGGAUUAGAUACCCUUGU
rnacentral:rRNA from 1 species